UUUCCUUGAUGAUACAAAUUACAUUUAGUUCACUGUCACCAAGAUAGGGUGUGGUGAGGCAAGAAGCCACCUUAAGCAAUAUCUGUGUUUAUUAGCAAUUACUCUAAAACUACAAUGUUUUGGAUUUCAGCUUUGACAUAUCUUGUGUAGGUCCACUCCAAGAUUAUAUGUGUCAAUUUUGAUGUUUUUUUUCGCUGUGCCAAAUUUGAAUUAUGCUAAAGGCGUAUGCCUUGGCUUCUAGCAGAAGAGGUGCAGCCCCCACCUCGCAACAAUUGCAUCCAAAUUCCCACUACUUUACCACUUCAAUGCAUGUACAACCGCCAAACAAUUUGUAUGCACUGGAGACCAUUUCAGAACCAUUUUUAGUUGACGAUCUUUUUAAAAAUAGUUAAAAAAAUGAAUUAUUAUUAUUUUAAUUAAAGAAGUGUGUGGAAAAAAGAUCAGACAUAACAUUGUAAAGUGAGGGUGAAAAAAAAUCGAGGGAACAAACCAUUACUUACAAAAAAGGGGUGUACAUGUUAUAUAAUCAAAUAUUAACAGCAAAUAUCUUUUUUUUUUAAGAUGCUCUCUUUUGGAAUUGAUUCUUUGAAUGGUAUUAUUAUAUGCCAGAGUUUUAUAUUAAUAAUAACUUCCUGUACCCACGAUUCACAUUAGUCUCGUAUCCAAAAAUGAUAUCGCCCUAGACUAUUGCAGAAGCACACAUGUAGGUCGUGGAGCGGGUUUAUCACUUCAUACGAUGAGAUGGAUUCUUUAUCAGUUGGAAGGUAUGUAAUGUACUUAAGAGAAGUACUGGUAUUACAGUUAAUUGUAAAACUGUACUUUAUUUAAAAUGAUAUAAAAUAUAAUUUAUGUAGUUGAAUAGUGAAUCGUGUAUUUGCCAAAUUAAUUAUAGAUGUAGUAGUCGUACUAUUAUUACUCAAAACAUGUUUAAAAACACAAAGGAGGAAUAAUCUAUAUAGUAACUAUCUGAUGUGAAUGAAUACUAUUAUGGCACUUUUGAAAGAUGUAUUUAUUAUUUUGCAGCACUGUCAACAAACGCCUCAGUGUAAACACUAGUGUCGCUAGUCAAAAUGAGCAGGACCUGCUUACUUUGUAUGUGCAAGGAAUGAAUAAUUACUCAUCUGAUCUGGGAAAAUCUUUGUUAAGAUUAGCCUCUGACAAGACUGGUUUAUCAGAGAGAGAGAAGUAAAGAGGUGGAUUGACAAUUAUAAAAAGAAGGUGAAGAGGAGAGAGCACCCCAGUUAAACUUGCAAAAAGAGCUAAGAGGGGCAUUGAUGUGCUCUACAGUGAGAACUUAUCAAAACAAGAGGGCAACACUAACAAAGAGAAGUUGCAGGCUUUACACAGGACCUGGAGGAGCACCACAGCCGAGGAACAGGAGCGGUACUCUGAAAAUGCCCCCUCCAUGGCGACCUGCAGACCACAGUCCCGAUCAAAAGAAGAGCCUCUACAAGGACGCCUUAAAGAAUAUUGCAAAACAGGUGUCAAUCCUAGAAGAAUUAGGAAGCAAGGGGGUCAUAGUUCUCACUGUAGACUGCAGAACAAAUUAUCAUCAUUUGGGACAGACAAGUGCCUGGACUGGCUGAACGAGCAAAUGGAGCUGCAGUAUUGCUUCCUUUCCACCUGCAUAGGAAAUGAAGGUCCAAUACUAAAAGAUCCCAAUGGACAAGAGAGAAGAGAAGUGCAACACAUUUUUAACAGAAAAUACAGUAGUUAUAUAUUGUAUUCCUUUUUACAGUUUUGAAUUAACUCACACACAAAAAUAAUCAAUGACUCAAUUACAACUGUAG